rnacentral:lncRNA from 1 species
CAUAUUCUCUGCAUCUGUAUUUAUUUAAAAAUGCUUUUGCAACCUGACACUGUUCAGCUUUUUUAUCUUUUACCAGUAUUUGGGGACUUAUUGGGGAUUCCUUUGAUAAUUUCAGGAAGAAAGAAGUGGAAUGGAAGGAGCCAGUAACUGUCCCAGGUCAGAAAACGCCUCUGAAAAGGAUCUACAUUACACCCAAAGUUCAUUGGAUAACUGCACCCUCAACAAUCAGGAGACAAUAAGUGGUGUAGACAGAGCUAAUAUCUUCCCCAAAUCAGAUGGUACCUCUGAAGACAUUCAGCAUUCCACAGACUGUUCACAGGUUGAGACUUUCCACAUUCAGGAGACAAUAAGUGGUACGAACCAAGCCAGUAACUGCCCCAAAUCAGAUGGUGCCUCUGAAGACAAUCAGCAUUGCACAGACAGUUCACAGCAUGACAGUAUCUUCCACAUUCAGGAGACAAUAAAGGGUACGAACCAAGCCAGUAACUGCCCCAAAUCAGAUGGUGCCUCUGAAGACAAUCAGCAUUGCACAGACAGUUCACAGCAUGACAGUAUCUUCCACAUUCAGGAGACAAUAAAGGGUAUGAACCAAGCCAGUAACUGCCCCAAAUCAGAUGGUGCCUCUGAAGACAAUCAGCAUUGCACAGACAGUCCACAGCAUGACAGUAUCUUCCACAUUCAGGAGACAAUAAAGGGUAUGAACCAAGCCAGUAACUGCCCCAAAUCAGAUGGUGCCUCUGAAGACAAUCAGCAUUGCACAGACAGUUCACAGCAUGACAGUAUCUUCCACAUUCAGGAGACAAUAAAGGGUACGAACCAAGCCAGUAACUGCCCCAAAUCAGAUGGUGCCUCUGAAGACAAUCAGCAUUGCACAGACAGUUCACAGCAUGACAGUAUCUUCCACAUUCAGGAGACAAUAAAGGGUACGAACCAAGCCAGUAACUGCCCCAAAUCAGAUGGUGCCUCUGAAGACAAUCAGCAUUGCACAGACAGUUCACAGCAUGACAGUAUCUUCCACAUUCAGGUAUGAAACUGCUCUUUUUUUAUGUAUUUUAAUUACCAUAUACGUUAAGUCCCCACAAUGUGCACUGUGCAUGAUAUAUGUGAAG